GCAACUGAAACCAGGCAAUCUUCCUCAACUGCAGAUUCUGAUUUAUGAGGUCUGGGGUGAGCCCAAGAAUCUGCAUUUCUAGCAAGCUCCCAAGCAACACAGAU
rnacentral:pre_miRNA from 1 species